rnacentral:rRNA from 1 species
AGUGGCGAACGGGUGAGUAACACGUGAGUAACCUGCCCUUAACUCUGGGAUAAGCCUGGGAAACUGGGUCUAAUACCGGAUAUGACUCCUCAUCGCAUGGUGGGGGGUGGAAAGCUUUUUGUGGUUUUGGAUGGACUCGCGGCCUAUCAGCUUGUUGGUGAGGUAAUGGCUUACCAAGGCGACGACGGGUAGCCGGCCUGAGAGGGUGACCGGCCACACUGGGACUGAGACACGGCCCAGACUCCUACGGGAGGCAGCAGUGGGGAAUAUUGCACAAUGGGCGAAAGCCUGAUGCAGCGACGCCGCGUGAGGGAUGACGGCCUUCGGGUUGUAAACCUCUUUCAGUAGGGAAGAAGCGAAAGUGACGGUACCUGCAGAAGAAGCGCCGGCUAACUACGUGCCAGCAGCCGCGGUAAUACGUAGGGCGCAAGCGUUAUCCGGAAUUAUUGGGCGUAAAGAGCUCGUAGGCGGUUUGUCGCGUCUGCCGUGAAAGUCCGGGGCUCAACUCCGGAUCUGCGGUGGGUACGGGCAGACUAGAGUGAUGUAGGGGAGACUGGAAUUCCUGGUGUAGCGGUGAAAUGCGCAGAUAUCAGGAGGAACACCGAUGGCGAAGGCAGGUCUCUGGGCAUUAACUGACGCUGAGGAGCGAAAGCAUGGGGAGCGAACAGGAUUAGAUACCCUGGUAGUCCAUGCCGUAAACGUUGGGCACUAGGUGUGGGGGACAUUCCACGUUUUCCGCGCCGUAGCUAACGCAUUAAGUGCCCCGCCUGGGGAGUACGGCCGCAAGGCUAAAACUCAAAGGAAUUGACGGGGGCCCGCACAAGCGGCGGAGCAUGCGGAUUAAUUCGAUGCAACGCGAAGAACCUUACCAAGGCUUGACAUGAACCGGUAACGCCUGGAGACAGGUGCCCCGCUUGCGGUCGGUUUACAGGUGGUGCAUGGUUGUCGUCAGCUCGUGUCGUGAGAUGUUGGGUUAAGUCCCGCAACGAGCGCAACCCUCGUUCUAUGUUGCCAGCACGUGAUGGUGGGGACUCAUAGGAGACUGCCGGGGUCAACUCGGAGGAAGGUGGGGACGACGUCAAAUCAUCAUGCCCCUUAUGUCUUGGGCUUCACGCAUGCUACAAUGGCCGGUACAAAGGGUUGCGAUACUGUGAGGUGGAGCUAAUCCCAAAAAGCCGGUCUCAGUUCGGAUUGGGGUCUGCAACUCGACCCCAUGAAGUCGGAGUCGCUAGUAAUCGCAGAUCAG